rnacentral:tRNA from 1 species
CGGGAUGUAGCGCAGUUUGGCUAGCGCGCCUGCCUUGGGAGCAGGAAGUCGGGGGUUCAAAUCCCUCCAUCCCGA